rnacentral:rRNA from 1 species
GAUGAACGCUGGCGGCGUGCCUAAUACAUGCAAGUCGAGCGAACAGACGAGGAGCUUGCUCCUCUGACGUUAGCGGCGGACGGGUGAGUAACACGUGGAUAACCUACCUAUAAGACUGGGAUAACUUCGGGAAACCGGAGCUAAUACCGGAUAACAUGUUGAACCGCAUGGUUCAACAGUGAAAGACGGUUUUGCUGUCACUUAUAGAUGGAUCCGCGUCGCAUUAGCUAGUUGGUAAGGUAACGGCUUACCAAGGCAACGAUGCGUAGCCGACCUGAGAGGGUGAUCGGCCACACUGGAUCUGAGACACGGUCCAGACUCCUACGGGAGGCAGCAGUAGGGAAUCUUCCGCAAUGGGCGAAAGCCUGACGGAGCAACGCCGCGUGAGUGAAGAAGGUCUUCGGAUCGUAAAACUCUGUUAUUAGGGAAGAACAAAUGUGUAAGUAACUAUGCACGUCUUGACGGUACCUAAUCAGAAAGCCACGGCUAACUACGUG